GACGAACGCUGGCGGCGCGCUUAACACAUGCAAGUCGAGCGAAGCGGCGGACGGGUGAGUAACACGUGAGUAACCUGCCUUAGACAUUGGGAUAGCCUCGGGAAACCGUGAUUAAUCCUAAAUGGUCUAAGAUGGACUCGCGUCCCAUUAGCUAGUUGGUGAGGUAACGGCCCACCAAGGCGACGAUGGUUAGCCGGGCAGAGAGGGUGGACGGCCACAUUGGCACGGAGAAACGGUCCGAACUCUACGGGAGGCAGCAGUGGGGAAUCUUGCACAAUGGAGUGAACGCUGAUGCAGCGACGCCGCGUGAACGAAGAAGGCUGUCAAGUCGUAAAGUUCUUUUAUAUGGGCAGCGGUACCAUAAGAAAAAGCCACGGCUAACUACGUGCCAGCCGCCGCGGUAAUUC
rnacentral:rRNA from 1 species